rnacentral:rRNA from 1 species
AUUGAACGCUGGCGGCAUGCCUUACACAUGCAAGUCGAACGGUAACAGGUCUUCGGAUGCUGACGAGUGGCGAACGGGUGAGUAAUACAUCGGAACGUGCCUAGUAGUGGGGGAUAACUACUCGAAAGAGUGGCUAAUACCGCAUGAGAUCUACGGAUGAAAGCGGGGGAUCGCCAGACCUUGUGCUACUAGAGCGGCCGAUGGCAGAUUAGGUAGUUGGUGGGAUAAAAGCUUACCAAGCCGACGAUCUGUAGCUGGUCUGAGAGGACGAUCAGCCACACUGGGACUGAGACACGGCCCAGACUCCUACGGGAGGCAGCAGUGGGGAAUUUUGGACAAUGGGCGCAAGCCUGAUCCAGCAAUGCCGCGUGCAGGAUGAAGGCCUUCGGGUUGUAAACUGCUUUUGUACGGAACGAAAAGCCCUGGGUUAAUACCCUGGGGUCAUGACGGUACCGUAAGAAUAAGCACCGGCUAACUACGUGCCAGCCGCCGCAAUAACAC